rfam:Salmo salar isolate Sally breed double haploid chromosome ssa09, whole genome shotgun sequence.
UGCUACUGCUAUUGUAAGUCGCUCUGGAUAAGAGCAUCUGCUAAAUGACUUAAA